UAUUAAAAAUUUAUUUAUUUGUAUUGUUAAAAACUGGCGUAACUGAUAAAAUAAUCAAACAAUGACGCUUGGCGUCUCACAUGUACCUCAUGUUAACUAUAGGGACCAAUUUUUUAACAGUAAAAAUAAAUGGUAAUUUUACCA
rnacentral:pre_miRNA from 1 species